AUGGCAUUGGUGUAGAUGGGAGCACACUUGGUUAGGCGGUUCAAGUCCGCAUUAUAAGAAUUGGACAAACUGGGAAGUAUCGGUUCGAAUCCGAUAUGCUAUU
rnacentral:tRNA from 1 species